UCACCAGACUCCUACGGGAGGCAGCAGUGGGGAAUAUUGGGCAAUGGAGGAAACUCUUACCCAGCAAUGCCGCGUGAAUGAAGAAGGUCUUCGGAUUGUAAAGUUCUUUAAUUGGGGACGAAAAAAAUGACGGUACCCAAGGAAUAAGCCCCGGCUAACUACGUGCCAGCAGCCGCGGUAAUACGUAGGGGGCGAGCGUUAUCCGGAUUCACUGGGUGUAAAGGGAGCGUAGACGGCCAUGCAAGCCAGGGGUGAAAGCCCGGGGCCCAACCCCGGGACUGCCCUUGGAACUGCAUGGCUGGAGUGCGGGAGGGGCAGGCGGAAUUCCUGGUGUAGCGGUGAAAUGCGUAGAUAUUAGGAGGAACACCAGUGGCGAAGGCGGCCUGCUGGACGAUGACUGACGUUGAGGCUCGAAAGCGUGGGGAGCAAACAGGAUUAGAUACCCCAGUA
rnacentral:rRNA from 1 species